UGGGGAAUAUUGGACAAUGGGGGCAACCCUGAUCCAGCAAUGCCGCGUGUGUGAAGAAGGUCUUCGGAUUGUAAAGCACUUUCGACGGGGACGAUGAUGACGGUACCCGUAGAAGAAGCCCCGGCUAACUUCGUGCCAGCAGCCGCGGUAAUACGAAGGGGGCUAGCGUUGCUCGGAAUGACUGGGCGUAAAGGGCGUGUAGGCGGUUUACACAGUCAGAUGUGAAAUCCCCGGGCUUAACCUGGGAGCUGCACUUGAUACGUGUAGACUAGAGUGUGAGAGAGGGUUGUGGAAUUCCCAGU
rnacentral:rRNA from 1 species